rfam:Actinomyces sp. oral taxon 414 strain F0588, complete genome.
CUCACCGCCGGGCGGGGAUGCCGCCAGGGUUGGGGAGCCCGAUGACCGGUCCCAUCUCCGAGGCGGCCAUGGGUACAAGGGAGCCCGCGGCCGUCGUCCCGGCGAAGGAG